UUUGCUCGUGAACCAAAUAUGGUCGGCUGGGUUGUCUUUGCGGAAACGCUUAGGUGACUUGUCUACGAAUUGUAAUCAUAAUAUGCGCGACGGUGAAUCCUUUGCAGACGACUUGAAUGGGAACGGGGUACUGUAAGUGGUAGAGUAGCCUUGUUGCUACGAUCCACUGAGGUUAAGCCCUUGUUCUAAAGAUUUGUUCA
rnacentral:rRNA from 1 species